GUGCUCACUUUGGCAGCACAAAUUCUAAAACUGGAACGAUACAGACAAGAUUAGCACGGCCCCUGCNCGAGGAUUUCAUGCAAAUNCGCGAAGCAUUCCAUAAUUUA
rnacentral:snRNA from 1 species